rnacentral:rRNA from 1 species
GAUGAACGCUGGCGGCGUGCUUAAUACAUGCAAGUCGAACGGAAAGGCCCUGCUUUUGCGGGGUGCUCGUGUGGCGAACGGGUGAGUAACACGUGAGUAUCAUGUCCUUGUCUUUGGGAUAUCUUCAGGAAACUGGGGCUCUUAUCGGAUAGGAGCUCUUGCUGCAUGGUGGGGGUUGGUAAGUUUCGGCGGUUGGGGCUAGUCUCGCUGCUUAUCCGCUUGAUGGUGUGGUAGUGGCUUACCAAGGCUUUGACGGGUAGGCGGCCUGAGAGGUUGACCGGCCACAAUGGGACUGAGGUACGGCCCAGACGCCUACGGGAGGCAGCAGUGGAGAAUAUUACACAAUAGGCGGAAGCCUGAGACGGCGACGCCGCGUGCGGGAUGACGUGCUUCGGGUGGAGAACCGCUUUCGACUGAAACGAGGCGUGAGUGACGGUAAUGGGUAAGAAAGCACCGGCUAACUACGUG